rnacentral:rRNA from 1 species
UACGUAGGGGGCAAGCGUUGUCCGGAAUCAUUGGGCGUAAAGCGCGCGUAGGCGGCCCGGUAAGUCCGCUGUGAAAGUCGGGGGCUCAACCCUCGGAUGCCGGUGGAUACUGUCGGGCUUGAGUGCGGAAGAGGCGAGUGGAAUUCCUGGUGUAGCGGUGAAAUGCGCAGAUAUCAGGAGGAACACCAAUUGCGAAGGCAGCUCCGCUGGGACGUUACUGGACGCUGAUGCGCGAAAGCGUGGGGAGCAAACAGG